rnacentral:rRNA from 1 species
GCAAGUCGAGCGAGAAAGCACUUCGGUGCGAGUACAGCGGCGGACGGGUGAGUAACGCGUAGGAAUCUACCCAGUAGUGGGGGACAACAUGGUGAAAACCAUGCUAAUACCGCAUACGCCCUAAGGGGGAAAGCGGGGGAUCUUCGGACCUCGCGCUAUUGGAUGAGCCUGCGUAGGAUUAGCUUGUUGGUGAGGUAAGAGCUCACCAAGGCAAUGAUGAAUAGCCGGCCUGAGAGGGUGACC